rnacentral:tmRNA from 1 species
GGGGGCGACUGGUUUCGACUGGAUGACUGCAGGUCGAGGUGGCGUGCCGUGGUUGAUCAGUUGGCCACGUUAAAAGCUGAUCAAACAACAACUGCUGAAAAGAGCUUUGCUCUGGCUGCCUAGAGAUAGGUUGCUCCGGCUGAGGAAUCCCCGCCUGAGGAGUCCGGAGGCCGGUAAAAAAAUCAGGCUGGUGUCGCGUCACUGCUGGCUACGCGCGGCAUGAGAUUCUGGUCGCCGGCUGGUGCGGAACGGGCCUGGUCGCAUGAGCCUGCCCGCACGACAUAAUCAAGCGACUAUGCACGUAGAGGCUUCGUCCAAGGCGUCUCAGGACGCGGGUUCAAUUCCCGCCGCCUCCACUU